AGCGAACGCUGGCGGCAGGCCUAACACAUGCAAGUCGAACGAACCUUUCGGGGUUAGUGGCGGACGGGUGAGUAACACGUGGGAACGUGCCUUUAGGUUCGGAAUAACUCAGGGAAACUUGUGCUAAUACCGAAUGUGCCCUUCGGGGGAAAGAUUUAUCGCCUUUAGAGCGGCCCGCGUCUGAUUAGCUAGUUGGUUGAGGUAAUGGCUCACCAAGGCGACGAUCAGUAGCUGGUCUGAGAGGAUGAUCAGCCACAUUGGGACUGAGACACGGCCCAAACUCCUACGGGAGGCAGCAGUGGCGAAUCUUGCGCAAUGGGCGAAAGCCUGACGCAGCCAUGCCGCGUGAAUGAUGAAGGUCUUAGGAUUGUAAAAUUCUUUCACCGGGGACGAUAAUGACGGUACCCGGAGAAGAAGCCCCGGCUAACUUCGUG
rnacentral:rRNA from 1 species